CUGGGGUCCAAAAACAGCCACCGGCCAGCGGGAGAGACUUGCCGUGCAAACAAGGGCUUCAGGCGCGAUGGCUCCCAGUGGCGCCUGGAAAGCCCUCCCCUCCCUGCACCCUCCCUGCCGGAAGGAACUGUGGCGAGCUCCUCCAGUUGCCUCCCUGGGCGACUGAGAAUCAUUCCACCCCUGGGAAGAUUCUGCCACCAACAGGAAUGGUCCGGGAGGAGAGCAACCAGAGAUGAUCCUGAAACCAACAACGCCUGCUGCCCUGCAUCGAGUUCUUCCUCUGUGCUGAGAGCUAGGAGAAUUCGUGUUCUCGGAGCGACACUGGAUGGGGUGAUGGAGUGAUGGAGAGACAGAGCUUCUGCUGGGGGACCUCCUACCCCCUGAGAGGGCACCUCUCAGGACUGCCCUCUGCCCUCUGGGGAGCCAGGAUCAGACGGAGUCUCCGGUGGGGUCCCAGGCACUCACUCCACGAGCUCCCCAUGCCCAAAGGAGCAGGACA